rnacentral:misc_RNA from 1 species
AGCAACUAAUGAAAUAUGGGUUGCCAGAAGACUAGAGCUGCCUUCCUUAGCAUAGGCCAGCAGAAACGAGGAAGGUUAGACAUCUGUUUAUUAUAGGAAAAUGGGUGUAGCUGGGGUUGCAUGUAGAGGAAUUAGAAUUCAGGGCUGGUUGAUAUAUUCUACGAGUAAGACAACAAGUAAUGCAAGCUAUUAUGCGAGUGCUCUUGUUGGCCCCAAUAGAACUAUCAUUAUUUUUAUUAUUAUUAGUUCAGCUCUUGGGGAAUGGCCCAGUUGUUUUCCCAACCUGGAAUUUCCUCCAAGUGUACCGACUAAGCAAACUUCUGUAAUUUUGGUCUCUCUUCCUUCUUGUCACAUGUAUGGGUUUUAUUUCUUUACAGUGACGGUUAUUUUGGUGCAGAAACUAAAUGGUUACGGAGGGGAUGCUGACAAGCAUCAAAAUGGGGAGUUGGAUCAGAAUGAGCCGCUGGAGGUGUAGAGGGUGUGCAGUACAAUGUUUCGGGCAUAGAUAUUUUCAUACAUUUUUAACUUCUUGUAAAUACGAGUAGUAGAAAAGUGUAUUCGCCUCAUUCUUUCAUGUUCAUAUGCUUGGAAAACUGUAGAGGACUCUUUGCCAUACAUAAGUGAUUGACUAUACAAUAUAAUGAAUAAGAGAGUAUGAGAUUCCAGUUCACAGCGUAUUUUUACGAGAGAGUAAAUAGAUUCUACAUUUCUUUUGCUUAGGCAGGCACAGCUUUUCUUUACCUUGUAGAUUAAACCGUCUCAGGUUCAACUUUAGUGGAUGCAAAGCGAAUGGAGGCAGCUAUUCCUUGUGCUUGUAUCUUUUAAUGAUUGUUGAGAAAAUCAGCUUUUAGCUUUGCAUUUCCGCUUCCUGCUGAGGCGAUAGAUUCACAGUAAAU